GUGCGUGCAUGGCGUGUAUGUGUGUGUGCAUGUGCAUGUGUAUAUGUGUGCAUGUGUGUGAGAGUGCAUGUGUGUGUUUGCAAGUGUGUGUGCAUGUGCAUGUGUGCAUGUGUAUAUAUGUGUGCAUGC
rnacentral:miRNA from 1 species